rnacentral:rRNA from 1 species
UAUGGAGAGUUUGAUCCUGGCUCAGGACGAACGCUGGCGGCGUGCCUAAUACAUGCAAGUAGAACGCUGAAGGAGGAGCUUGCUCUUCUGGAUGAGUUGCGAACGGGUGAGUAACGCGUAGGUAACCUGCCUGGUAGCGGGGGAUAACUAUUGGAAACGAUAGCUAAUACCGCAUAACAUUGACUAUUGCAUGAUAGUUAAUUGAAAGGUGCAAAUGCACCACUACCAGAUGGACCUGCGUUGUAUUAGCUAGUUGGUGGGGUAACGGCUCACCAAGGCGACGAUACAUAGCCGACCUGAGAGGGUGAUCGGCCACACUGGGACUGAGACACGGCCCAGACUCCUACGGGAGGCAGCAGUAGGGAAUCUUCCGCAAUGGGCGAAAGCCUGACGGAGCAACGCCGCGUGAGUGAUGAAGGUCUUCGGAUCGUAAAACUCUGUUAUUAGGGAAGAACAAAUGUGUAAGUAACUAUGCACGUCUUGACGGUACCUAAUCAGAAAGCCACGGCUAACUACGUGCCAGCAGCCGCGGUAAUACGUAGGGUGCGAGCGUUGUCCGGAAUUACUGGGCGUAAAGAGCUCGUAGGUGGUUUGUCGCGUCGUCUGUGAAAUCCCGGGGCUUAACUUCGGGCGUGCAGGCGAUACGGGCAUAACUUGAGUGCUGUAGGGGAGACUGGAAUUCCUGGUGUAGCGGUGGAAUGCGCAGAUAUCAGGAGGAACACCGAUGGCGAAGGCAGGUCUCUGGGCUGUAACUGACGCUGAGGAGCGAAAGCAUGGGGAGCGAACAGGAUUAGAUACCCUGGUAGUCCACGCCGUAAACGAUGAGUGCUAGGUGUUGGGUCCUUUCCGGGACUCAGUGCCGCAGCUAACGCAUUAAGCACUCCGCCUGGGGAGUACGACCGCAAGGUUGAAACUCAAAGGAAUUGACGGGGGCCCGCACAAGCGGUGGAGCAUGUGGUUUAAUUCGAAACAACGCGAAGAACCUUACCAGGUCUUGACAUCCCGGUGCCCGUCCUAGAGAUAGGAUUUUGCUUCGGCACACCGGUGACAGGUGGUGCAUGGUUGUCGUCAGCUCGUGUCGUGAGAUGUUGGGUUAAGUCCCGCAACGAGCGCAACCC